GAUGAACGCUGGCGGCGUGCCUAAUACAUGCAAGUCGAGCGAACGGACGAGAAGCUUGCUUCUCUGAUGUUAGCGGCGGACGGGUGAGUAACACGUGGAUAACCUACCUAUAAGACUGGGAUAACUUCGGGAAACCGGAGCUAAUACCGGAUGAUAUUUUGAACCGCAUGGUUCAAAAGUGAAAGACGGUCUUGCUGUCACUUAUAGAUGGAUCCGCGCUGCAUUAGCUAGUUGGUAAGGUAACGGCUUACCAAGGCAACGAUGCAUAGCCGACCUGAGAGGGUGAUCGGCCACAUUGGAACUGAGACACAGUCCAGACUCCUACGGGAGGCAGCAGUAGGGAAUCUUCCGCAAUGGGCGAAAGCCUGACGGAGCAACGCCGCGUGAGUGAUGAAGGUCUUCGGAUCGUAAAACUCUGUUAUUAGGGAAGAACAUAUGUGUAAGUAACUGUGCACAUCUUGACGGUACCUAAUCAGAAAGCCACGGCUAACUACGUG
rnacentral:rRNA from 1 species